rnacentral:rRNA from 1 species
AUUCCCCUAGUAACUGCGAGUGAAGCGGGAAAAGCUCAAAUUUAAAAUCUGGUAGUCUUUGGCUGCCCGAGUUGUAAUCUAGAGAAGCAUUAUCUGCUCUGGACUGUGUAUAAGUAUCCUGGAAUGGAUCAUCAUAGAGGGUGAGAAUCCCGUCUUUGACACAGACUCCCAGUGCUUUGUGAUGUGCUCUCAAAGAGUCGAGUUGUUUGGGAAUGCAGCUCUAAAUGGGUGGUAAAUUCCAUCUAAAGCUAAAUAUUGGCGAGAGACCGAUAGCGAACAAGUACCGUGAGGGAAAGAUGAAAAGAACUUUGGAAAGAGAGUUAAACAGUACGUGAAAUUGCUGAAAGGGAAACGCUUGAAGUCAGUCGCGUUGGCUGGGGAUCAACCUUGCUUUUUGCUUGGCUUACUUCCCAGUUGACGGGUCAGCAUCAGUUUUGACCGGUGGAUAAAGGCUAGGGGAAUGUGGCACCUCCGGGUGUGUUAUAGCCCUUGGUCAU